ensembl:lncRNA
GUUGUAAUUCCAUUGACUUGAGAUUGUAUGUCUCCUCCUUCGUCUUUCAGGUUGAAGGUCUGCCAGCCUUGAUCCUGUGUUCUGGGGUGGUGGUAGCUUCGGGGAACGAACCUUUUAGACCAGGGAACUAUGACUUCCUGAGACCGACCCAGCCUGCUGCUGCUCUGUCCUUUAACUCAGACUCUAUAGAACCAACCAGGCUAAAGCCUCUAACAGAAAAUAAAACAUCGUUAUCCAGCGGGCGGCGGUCCAGGAACUUCAGUCUGUCAUCAGAGAGAUACUUUGUGAACCAGAUCAACAAGUCUGUGAACGAUAGCUCCUAUGGCCAGCCGGUCCGCCUCCCAGAGAACAUGGAGACAGAGCUAAACCAGAGAAAGACCCGGGGCUCUAUAGAUAUGGAGACAGAGACGUAUCAGCUUGUAGAGGACAACGGGAAGACCUCCAUCGUACCGCAGGAUGAUGACAUUGAGAAGUCCUUCAGGGUCAACCAGGAUGGCAGCAUGACCGUCGAGAUGAAGGUCCGUCUGACCAUUAAGGAGGAGGAGAUGAUCCAUUGGACGACCACGUUGAGCCGCUCCAGCGUGGUGACCAAUCAUAAACUAGGAGCCAAGUCGGUAUCCACCCCACAGUCCCCCGACAACAACGUGGAGGCGAAAGACCCUAACAUUGGUCUCAGUGAGGAUGAGACCAAGGAGAGUAACCACCCCAGCCGCAAUGCAGAGAGGGACGUGGCCUUCAGCGGGACGGACGGAGGAGGGACGGACAGUGGCGGUGGAGGCAGGGCUGGUUCUCUGAAGGCCCACCCCCGUCAGAAGCGGAUGCCAACCCCUGGGCUGAGACAGG